GAGUUUGAUCAUGGCUCAGGAUGAACGCUGGCGGCGUGCCUAACACAUGCAAGUCGAGCGGACCAAUGCUCAUUUCAGCUUUACUGAUUUGAGCAUUGGUUAGCGGCGGACGGGUGAGUAACGCGUGGGCAACCUGCCCUGUGCAGGGGGAUAACACAGCGAAAGCUGUGCUAAUACCCCAUAAGACUACGCUAUCGCAUGAUAGAGUAGUCAAAGCUUUAGCGGCACAGGAUGGGCCCGCGUCUGAUUAGCUAGUUGGUGGGGUAACGGCCUACCAAGGCGACGAUCAGUAGCCGACCUGAGAGGGUGAUCGGCCACACUGGAACUGAGACACGGUCCAGACUCCUACGGGAGGCAGCAGUGGGGAAUAUUGCACAAUGGGGGAAACCCUGAUGCAGCAACGCCGCGUGAGCGAAGAAGGCCUUCGGGUCGUAAAGCUCUGUCCUAGGGGAAGAAGUAUGACGGUACCUUAGGAGGAAGCCCCGGCUAACUACGUGCCAGCAGCCGCGGUA
rnacentral:rRNA from 1 species